AGAGUUUGAUCAUGGCUCAGAGUGAACGCUGGCGGCAGGCCUAACACAUGCAAGUCGAACGGCAGCGGGUCAGUAGCAAUACUGAUGCCGGCGAGUGGCGGACGGGUGAGGAAUACAUCGGAAUCUACCUUGUCGUGGGGGAUAACGUAGGGAAACUUACGCUAAUACCGCAUACGACCUACGGGUGAAAGCGGCGGACCGCAAGGCGUCGCGCGAUUGGAUGAGCCGAUGUCCGAUUAGCUAGUUGGCGGGGUAAAGGCCCACCAAGGCGACGAUCGGUAGCUGGUCUGAGAGGAUGAUCAGCCACACUGGGACUGAGACACGGCCCAGACUCCUACGGGAGGCAGCAGUGGGGAAUAUUGGACAAUGGGCGCAAGCCUGAUCCAGCCAUGCCGCGUGUGUGAAGAAGGCCUGCGGGUUGUAAAGCACUUUCAGUGGGGAAGAAAAAAUCGGAUCUAACACAUCCGAUCUUGACGUUACCCAUAGAAGAAGCACCGGCUAACUCCGUGCCAGCAGCGGCGGUAAUUC
rnacentral:rRNA from 1 species